GAGGCUUUAGCUCAGUCGGUAGAGCAUCUCCCUUUUAAGGAGAGGGUCGAUGGUUCGAGUCCAUCAAGCCUCA
rfam:Simkania negevensis Z main chromosome, complete genome